rnacentral:lncRNA from 13 species
CAGGUUUGACUGUGUAACAAGAGACUCAUAUUUAAGUUAAUUUGACUACUGGAGUUAUUUCUAUUGAAGCACCCAAGGGGAUCGUCUAUAGACCUAUAUGAAGGUCACAGACUAUUUCAGGCAGGAGGGGUGGUUGGAUUUACAGCAGACCUACACACAGCAUACCAGAGACACCCAGACCACCCAGGCAGAGAUAUGGCCCAGACCCCAGCACAGGUCACCACCCACGGUCGUCAUUGUUCUCCUCUCUGGCUCCUUGGAACAGGUCCAGGAUAAGCAGUUCUACCAUCAUUACGUCCUCUUGAAACAAUUACUAUGAGAAUAACCUUUGACCCCCUCAGAAGCUAUGGGAGGGAAAUUAACAGACUGUAAUCUCAAAGCUGGCUGGAGAGGGAGUAAGAUCACUAGAAGGCAGAAUGUUUCCAGACUACCACAGGACUCUACAGUCAAUGCGUAUGAACUGGGUGAUGCCUCUGCAUGCUGUGACAUGGGCCUGGAUGGUGACGCUUCCAGCUGCCUGACUGAAUACUGGGGCCUUCAUUGGUACCUUACCCGACAUUACAGCAAGUGUCUCCUUAUUUUAACCACUCAUUCAUACAAACUGCUACAGACACAAGAAUGGACUUAAAGGAAUUUGUCUAUUUGUCCUAUUCUUCAGGCUUGUCUUGGAUAUACUGUCUUAUAUGCAGUGAAAUUAUUCAGGUCCAUUGACUUUUUCAACAUUUUGUUAGGUUACACCCUUAUUCUAAAAUUGAUUAUAAAAAUCUGUUUUUGCUUUGUCAUUAUUUUGUAUUGUGUGUAGAUUGAUGGGUAUUUGUAUUUUUUUUGCUAAUAUAUAUAUUUUUUAAAUGGAAAUAUCAAAUUUACCUAAUGAUUCAGACCCUUUACUAAGUACUUGGUUGAAGCAACUUUGGCAGUGAUUACAGCCUUGAGUGCAGACUGUGUGAAGUAACAAUGUUAAUUGUAAUCACAGGGGCAGGCAAAUGACAGGUCAAGGCAGGCAGGGGUCAGUAAUCCAGAGGUGGAGCAAAGGUACAGGAUGGCAGGCAAGCUCAGGGUCAGAGACAGGCAGUGGUCAGGAGGGCGGGUACAGGGUCAGGACAGGCAAAGGUCAAAAAACAGGAGGACGAGAAAAAGAGAAACUAGGGAAAAACAGGAGACAAAAGGCUGGUAAGCUUGAACAAACAAGAUGAACUGGCAACAGACAGAAAGAAAACACACAAGGGAUAAUGGGGAAAAUGAGGGACACCUGGAGGGGAUGAAGACAAGCACAAGAACAGGUGAAACAGAUCAGGGCGUGACAGUACCCACCCAUCUAGGGACGACAUCUGGUGUCCUACCUGAGCGCAUACCUGGUUGAGCGGGGUUCCGAUUCUGGAACUCAGUAAUAAGGCCUGGGUCCAGGAUGUCCCUAGCGGAGACCCAGCACCUCUCCUCCGGGCCAUAACCCUCCCAGUAACACAGGUACUGGAAUCCCUUGCCCUGAGGUCGAACCUUCAGGAGGCGUCUCACUAUGUACGCUGGUCGGUUGUCGUUGAGACGUGGGAGAGGGGUGGGCCUGGAAACAGGAGACAACGGGCUGUGAGACAUGGAUUUAACCCUGGACACAUGAAAGGUGGCAUGUAUACGAUGGGUAUGGGGCAACAAAAAAAUAAACAGCAGAGGGGCCAAUAAUUUUGGAGAUGGCAAAAGGGCCAUUAAACCGGGG